AUACGUAGGGGGCGAGCGUUAUCCGGAAUUAUUGGGCGUAAAGAGUACGUAGGUGGUUGCGUAAGCGCAAGGUGAAAGACCGGGGCUUAACUUCGGUGAGCCUUGUGAACUGCGUGACUUGAGUGCAGGAGGGGAAAGUGGAAUUCCUAGUGUAGCGGUGAAAUGCGUAGAUAUUAGGAGGAACACCAGUGGCGAAGGCGACUUUCUGGACUGUAACUGACACUGAGGUACGAAAGCGUGGGGAGCAAACAGGAUUAGAUACCCUGGUAGUCCACGCCGUAAACGAUGAGCACUAGGUGUUGGCGUAGAAAUACGUCGGUGCCGAAGUUAACGCAUUAAGCAUUCCGCCUAGGGAGUACGGCCGCAAGGUUGAAACUCAAAUGAAUUGACGGGG
rnacentral:rRNA from 1 species